CCGGAGUUGCUAGUAAUCGCGGAUCAGAAUGCCGCGGUGAAUGCGUUCCCGGGUCUUGUACACACCGCCCGUAACACCAUGGAAGUUGGGGGUGCCCAAAGCCGGCAGGGAAAUAUGCUGUCUAAGGCAAAACCAAUGACUGGGGUGAAGUCGUAACAAGGUAAC
rnacentral:rRNA from 1 species